GAUGAAGAACGUAGUGAAAUGCGAUACGUAAUGUGAAUUGCAGAAUUCAGUGAAUCAUCGAAUCUUUGAACGCAUAUUGCGCUCUCUGGUAUUCCGGAGAGCAUGCUUGUUUGAGUAUCAGUAAACACCUCAACUCCCUUUUCUUUUUUGAAAUUGGAGCUGGACUUGAGUGAUCCCAACGCUUUCUUCCAAGAAAGUGGCGGGUUGCUUGAAAUGCAGGUGCAGCUGAACUUUUCUCUGAGCUAUAAGCAUAUCUAUUUAGUCUGCCUAAAAAACAGAUUAUUACCUUUGCUGCAGCUAACAUAAAGGAGACUAGUUCUUGUGCUGACUGAUGCAGGAUUCACAGAGACAGCUUCAGCUGACUUUGUAAACUCGAUCUCAAAUCAAGUAAGACUACCCGCUGAACUUAAGCAUAUCAAUAAGCGGAGGA
rnacentral:misc_RNA from 1 species